AUGCUCACUUCAGCAGCACAUAUACUAAAAUUGAAAUUGUACAGAGAAGAUUAGCAUGGCCCCUGAUCAAGGAUGACACACACAUUUGUGAAGUAUUUUAUAUUUAA